UACGUGAGGGGCGAACGUUGUUCGGUGUCACUGGGCUUAAAGGGCGCGUAGGUGGUUGCGUAAGUAACGUGUGAAAUCCCUCGGCUUACCCGGGGAAUUGCGCGUUAUACUGCGUGGCUUGAGGAUUUCAGGGGAAUGGGGAACUCCAGGUGUAGCGGUGAAAUGCGCAGAUAUCUGGGGGAAGGCCGGCGGCGAAGGCGCCAUUCUGGGAAAUACCUGACACUGAGGCGCGAAAGCGUGGGGAGCAAACAGG
rnacentral:rRNA from 1 species